CAUCAGGAAGAAAGCUUGCUUUCUUUGCUGGCGACCGGCGCACGGGUGAGUAACACGUAUCCAACCUGCCCUUUACUCGGGGAUAGCCUUUCGAAAGAAAGAUUAAUACCCGAUAGCAUAAUGAUUCCGCAUGGUUUCAUUAUUAAAGGAUUCCGGUAAAGGAUGGGGAUGCGUUCCAUUAGGUUGUUGGUGAGGUAACGGCCCACCAAGCCUUCGAUGGAUAGGGGUUCUGAGAGGAAGGUCCCCCACAUUGGAACUGAGACACGGUCCAAACUCCUACGGGAGGCAGCAGUGAGGAAUAUUGGUCAAUGGGCGUUAGCCUGAACCAGCCAAGUAGCGUGAAGGAUGAAGGCUCUAUGGGUCGUAAACUUCUUUUAUAUAAGAAUAAAGUGCAGUAUGUAUACUGUUUUGUAUGUAUUAUAUGAAUAAGGAUCGGCUAACUCCGUGCCAGCAGCCGCGGUAAUACGGAGGAUCCGAGCGUUAUCCGGAUUUAUUGGGUUUAAAGGGAGCGUAGGUGGACUGGUAAGUCAGUUGUGAAAGUUUGCGGCUCAACCGUAAAAUUGCAGUUGAUACUGUCAGUCUUGAGUACAGUAGAGGUGGGCGGAAUUCGUGGUGUAGCGGUGAAAUGCUUAGAUAUCACGAAGAACUCCGAUUGCGAAGGCAGCUCACUGGACUGAACUGACACUGA
rnacentral:rRNA from 1 species